ensembl:lncRNA
AGCAAGUGGGGAGCCGUGUGCACUCUGCAGGAAGCGAGGGAGACGAGAGCUGAACAGUGUCGAGUGAACGCAGAGUUUAUAGAAGGGCGACAGACAUAUUUUCGGAUUGACGGAUAGUUGACUGGAGUGAAAGCUGUUGUACCCUACUGUGAGUAGGAGGAGGCGGACGUCUUGCUGGCGUGUCAGAGAGGUCCCUUCUGCUGGUGUGCUGAAGUUAUAUGUUCACGUGGGAGCACGUGGAGAGGACGACUGAGUGCUGCUGCCGCGGCCUGCUGGUAGCAUUGACCCAGUUUCCCCUGCUAUCCCCUUGAACUGCUUGGAGGUAGACUUUAUCACAUUCAUCAUGUCGCUCUCUGCACUGGUACCGCUGCUGCUGCUCGUCUGUAGUGUCCAGGCUAAUUUUUACAGUAUAGUGGUGAACUACUACCCAAGUGGCAAUGAUUCAACAGGAUCUUCCACUGGCAUUCUUUAUUACAAGUUGGGCUACAGCUUCUGCUUGAACAGUGUGCCCUACUACAUCGACGGUCAGCCACUUGUGCUACAAAAGGUCGAUGAGCCGAUAAAUGGAGAGUGGUGCCAAACUGAAGGAGUCAUCUCUAAGUAUUUUUCCAGCAACUCUAUGUUUUCAAUUCCGGCCUCUGGCAUAGACUGGAUCUUUGGCAUCAAAAAUGGCAUCGUAUCAUUUCAAAUUCAGGCUCUGGUGGAACUGAGGAUCCGCUCUGACAUCGGCAAAGCCAACACAUCACCACAGACCACUAUCAUACCAGCUAUCAGAGUUCCAUCAAACUGUCCAAGAAAUCUGAGCCUGUUGAUGUUUGAUCCUGAUGGAGACAUAGUGAAAUGCAGAAAUGGAGAUGCAUCACUCUCAGAGUGUAGGCCCUGCACACCACCAUCUGUUCUCAGCCUUUCACCAUCCUCUUGUACUCUGUCAUUCAGCCCCACGAACAGCAGUGAUGAAGGUCCGUAUGCGGUACAGCUGAUGAUAGAGGACUUUCCCAGACAGAACAUAACGUUGACUCAAACCAACGGGACACAAACAAUAAUAACAACCAACGACGCUAUCAGCAAAAUGCCAGUUCAGUUUGUCGUGAGAGUGGAUCCUGCAGCACCAUCGUGCACAGAGGGACUCUUUCUACCCAUGUUCCUGCCUCCAACCCCAGCCCACAGAACCCAGCUCUACACCAACGUCAAUCAGACUCUGGCUAUCAGCAUCAAGGCACAGACACUUAACUCCACGAUCUCUGAGCUGCUGUUCAGCGCGCCGCACACAGUAACUGAAAGUCAAACAGGCCCAGGAGAGUUCACACUGACGUGGACGCCAUCUGACUCAGUAGCUGGACAAAGCCACCCCAUUUGUUUUGUUGUCCAAGCAGUUUUAGGAGCAGCCAAGUACCACUCUGAGCUUCGAUGUGUCAUUGCGACCGUUAGAAAAGCAUCGCCAACUACAUCACCCAAUACACCAGAGUAUGUUGCAGCUCUGAAAAUGAAGUUGUCUUCUACAGUGGACUUGUCUCAAAUCAAUAGGGAUGUCUUCUUAAAUCAGAUUAAACAGAAACUGGAGUCAUAUGGACUGCCUGAUGACGUCAGUCUGCGCCUCAUAAACAGUGUGCCACAGAUUGGCGUAACUGCAGCGUCCUCUAAUUCUACAAGAUGAACCUGAAGUCCUGCAUCUGCAUGCUCUAUCUUCACUCUUUCUGUACCAAUUGGAAACAUCUGUGUGGAAAGAUAAUACAAAAUCUUACUUAUCACGCAUAAUUUUGCAUUCAACCUGUCUGUCAUAAAAAUUGGUGAUAAAACAUUAUUUGAAGUAGUGUUAAAUUUUUAAAGGAAUCAUUCAAGAUUUGUAAUGUGUGUAAUAUGGGUCUAGAUAAUUCUAUUUCUUAUACUCUCAGUAUAUAUACAUGCUUUUCUGGCGUCAUAAAGUAGUUCUUCCACAUCUUAGCAAUCAGCAGUUAGAAAAAAAUCAAACAAACAAAAAACAGUAAGAUUUUUGAAAACAAUUUUUUUUUCUACAAAAUAAGUCAAACGUUUUUCUUUUUCUCUAAUACAUACAGUGGCUUGCAAAAGUAUGCGGCCCCCUUGAACUUUUCCACAUUUUGUCACAUUACAGCCACAAACAUUAAUCAAUUUUAUUGGAAUUCCACGUGAAAGACCAAUACAAAGUGGUGUACAAGUGAGAAGUGGAACCAAAAUAAUACAUGAUUCCAAACAUUUUUUACAAAUAAAUAACUGAAAUUCUUGCCAUUCUAACACAUGGAUAUGUUUUGUUUUAAACCAUUCCAUUGUUGCCCUGACUUUAUGUUUAUGGUCGUUGUCCUGCUGGAAGGUGAACCUCCGCCCCAGUCUCAAGUCUUUUGCAGACUCCAAGAGGUUUUCUUCCAAAAUUGCCCUGUAUUUGGCUCCAUCCAUUUUCCCAUCAACUCUGACCAGCUUCCCUGUCCCUGCUGAAGAGAAGCACCCCCAGAGCAUGAUGCUGCCACCACCAUAUUUGACAGUGGGGAUGGUGUGUUCAGAGUGAUGUGCAGUGUUAGUUUUCCGCCACACAGAGCGUUUUGCAUUUUGGCCACAAAGUUCCAUUUUGGUCUCAUCUGACCAGAGCACCUUCUUCCACAUGUUUGCUGUGUCCCCCACAUGGCUUGUGGCAAACUGCAAACGGGACUUCUUAUGGUUUUCUGUUAACAAUGGCUUUCUUCUUGCCACUCUUCCAUAAAGGCCAACUUUGUGCAGUGCACGACUAAUAGUUGUCCUAUGGACAGAUUCCCCCACCUGAGCUGUAGAUCUCUGCAGCUCGUCCAGAGUCACCAUGGGCCUCUUGGCUGCAUUUCUGAUCAGCGCUCUCCUUGUUCGGCCUGUGAGUUUAGGUGGACGGCCUUGUCUUGGUAGGUUUACAGUUGUGCCAUACUCCUUCCAUUUCUGAAUGAUUGCUUGAACAGUGCUACGUGGGAUGUUCAAGGCUUGGGAAAUCUUUUUGUAGCCUAAGCCUGCUUUAAUUUUCUCAAUAACUUUGUCCCUGACCUGUCUGGUGUGUUCUUUGGACUUCAUGGUGUUGUUGCUCCCAAUAUUCUCUUAGACAACCUCUCAGGCUGUCACAGAGCAGCUGUAUUUGUACUGACAUUAGAUUACACACAGGUGUACUCUAUUUAGUCAUUAGCACUCAUCAGGCAAUGGCUGUGUCCGAAUUCAGGGGAAGGAUGCUUAAAAUGCCAUAUUUGGAGGCAAUGACGUCACAGCGAUGCGACGAGGACUGUCCGAAUUCAAAGAGCACUCAAAAUGUGGCGACAAAUGUGUCCUACUUUUCCGCGAAUUUGAGGGUUAGUCGUGUCUGAAUUCAGGGGAAGGAUGCUUAAAAUGCCAUAUUUGGAGGCAAUGACGUCACGGCGACGCGACGAAGGCUGUCCGAAUUCAAGUACUCAAAAUGUGGCGACAAAUGUGUCCUACUUUGCCCUGAAUUCUAAGGAUGGUCUGAUGUAUCCUUCAUGUCCUACUAUAUCCCAGGAUUCAUUGUGGGUCAUAGAGGAGAUUUGUUUCUGAUAACGAUGGUGGUCGAAGCAGGAGAGGAAAACACUUUCAAAUGUAAGUAUAUGAAAAUCUGGUGAAAAUCCCGCUGCUGUACAGAACCUGUGAUGUCCAGACGGUGUUCCUCUGGUGUUCUGCUGUGAAAACCUUUGGGCUUAGGGAUUAACAUAGUUGCCAUGGUGUCCUUUCUUCUCUUAUUUGUUGUGUGUGAUCAGGACAAUUCUGGAGAAGCUGGGCCUGCAGGGGAAAGUCACCCCCUUGCAGGCCAGAAGACAUGAGAUAACUUUAAAGAAUACAAAGUACAUAUGUGUGUUAUCAAGAAGAUAAUUCUUAAGAACACAAGUUAAUAAAUGUGCAAUUACUAAGAGUUGUUGUGGUGUUUUUAUUUGCCUGCUGUCAUUUUUGAUUUCCUCUGCCUUUAGGAUUGCAAGUAUCCAGGCUCAGGAGAGGGGGUCAGUGGGAAGCCCACUGCUGCUACUUGGCCCUGGUUUGCCCUCAUGGAUGAGGUGAUAGGACAGAUGCCUUCCAUUAAGCCUCCUGUCCUAAUUUCCUCUAUCCCUGAGGAUAGAACGGAGUGACCAAAACGACAGUGAUGACGAAGCGGCUCAGCCACCUACGACAGGGAGAAAGAGGAAAAGAGACAGGGAUGAUGAGCUGCUAGACCUCAUCAGAGGUCACAGACCCAGCCAUGACAAUAUAUAUAUAUAUAUAUAUAUAUAUACUGUAUAUGAAGACACAUCUUCUUUUUCAUUUCUGAUCUCAAUCUUAUAGCCAUGAAACAUGAAACAUAAAUGUUCCAGACGCUUCUGGCAAACAAGGGAGUUCAGUUCCUGGACAUGAGACAGCAAAGAGAGGCUGAGGAGAGGAGAGCAGGGAGAGGACGGACAGAUUGUUUUCACUUCUAGAAAGAUUAGUUCCCAAAUGAGUUAUGUAUUGAGAAAUUUAUUUAUUUGAAUAUAUUUGUUACAUUGUUAUAUGUGUUGCAUUAGUUUAAAGGUUUUAUGUUAUUUAUUAAUUGAUUCAAACAAACAGUAAUUGUCACUGAACUCAAUUUGAUUUACAGGCAUUUGUAACACGUAUGAACAUAACGCUAACUUUGAACAAUGUUACUUGGAUAUUUAUUUGAUAGCAAUAAAGUAAAUAACAAUAACAAUUAAACAAGAAUAUUUCAAAUACACAGUAUGUAAAGAUGGAAAAACAAUAUUUUCAGUUGUUCACACAGGAUUAACCUGAGUGACCUGUUCCUGGACCGUUUCUUUAACAACUGUAAUAGAUUACAGGAAGUCUCUGGCAGUGUUGCUGAAUCUGCCCGAGCAAGAUCAGACGUGGAUGAGCUGCUGCAACUGAGACCUGCGGUUUGUCUUUUCUGGUCGGCGAGUGGAGAAUCACACAGGGUGGUCUGCAAAGAGAGCUUUAGGAUGCUUCCUCCCACUGUCCACUGCAUCGUCCAUCCACAGGGUUUGCAGGGCUGCCACACCACUAAGAUGUUUUCAGAAACAUGCAAGCAGGAGAUGGUGGAUCCUAUAUUAUUAGUAUAAUACUUGUAACUCUGUAGCAGACAACAGUUUAAUAAAG